rnacentral:rRNA from 1 species
AUACGGAGGAUCCGAGCGUUAUCCGGAUUUAUUGGGUUUAAAGGGAGCGUAGAUGGAUGUUUAAGUCAGUUGUGAAAGCUUGCGGCUCAACCGUAAAAUUGCAGUUGAUACUGGAUAUCUUGAGCGCAGUUGAGGCAGGCGGAAUUCGUGGUGUAGCGGUGAAAUGCUUAGAUAUCACGAAGAACUCCGAUUGCGAAGGCAGCCUGCUAAGCUGCAACUGACAUUGAGGCUCGAAAGUGUGGGUAUCAAACAGGAUUAGAUACCCUGGUAGUCCACACGGUAAACGAUGAAUACUCGCUGUUUGCGAUAUACAGCAAGCGGCCAAGCGAAAGCGUUAAGUAUUCCACCUGGGGAGUACGCCGGCAACGGUGAAACUCAAAGGAAUUGACGGGG